CUACGUGCCAGCAGCCGCGGUAAUACGUAGGGUGCGAGCGUUAAUCGGAAUUACUGGGCGUAAAGCGCACGCAGGCGGUUUGUUAAGUCAGAUGUGAAAUCCCCGAGCUUAACUUGGGAACUGCAUUUGAAACUGGCAAGCUAGAGUCUUGUAGAGGGGGGUAGAAUUCCAGGUGUAGCGGUGAAAUGCGUAGAGAUCUGGAGGAAUACCGGUGGCGAAGGCGGCCCCCUGGACAAAGACUGACGCUCAGGUGCGAAAGCGUGGGGAGCAAACAGGAUUAGAUACCCUGGUAGUCCACGCUGUAAACGAUGUCGACUUGGAGGUUGUGCCCUUGAGGCGUGGCUUCCGGAGCUAACGCGUUAAGUCGACCGCCUGGGGAGUACGGCCGCAAGGUUAAAACUCAAAUGAAUUGACGGGGGCCCGCACAAGCGGUGGAGCAUGUGGUUUAAUUCGAUGCAACGCGAAGAACCUUACCUACUCUUGACAUCCAGAGAAUUCGCUAGAGAUAG
rnacentral:rRNA from 1 species